GGCAGAGAAGCACAGCCGUGGCCAAUAGAUCCCAGCUCUUCUCUUUCUUUUCACAGACUGAGACCAACUUCUGUGACCCUGGAUCAGGUGAGCUUUGAGGAGGUGGCUGUGUAUUUCAGUGAGGAGGAGUGGUGCUUUCUGGAUCCAGACCAAAGGGCCUUGCAUACGGAAGUCAUGGAGGAGAAUUUGGAGACGGUGGCUUCCUUGGGAGGUGACAUAAAUGGGAAUGCAGACGGAAGUGAAUGUCUUUGUCUUGUUUGUGGGAGAAGCUUCAGUUGUAAGUCAAACCUUAAUCUUCACAGGAGAACUCACAUAGGAGAACAAUCUUAUAAAGAUGGAGAGAGUAGUUAUAGGGAAAAACUGAUUUCCCAUGAACCCUCUCAAAUAACA